AAUGCCUCCGACAUUUGGUGAUUUGGCCACUUACUAAGUAUAUCAGCCACUCGACCAUAGUACGAUUCCACUGCCUCCCCUAGGAUCAUUUUGUUGUUCAUUAAUCUCUCUCAAAGGCGGUCUUCAAAAUCAAUUGGCCGAAAAUGAGAUAAAAAUGUAUUCUUCAAUGCUUCUCAAUUCGAGAAUUGACCCACUGGUUGACAAUUGUACCAUUCAAACGCCAUGUCUUUUAAGGUCAAUGGCAGCCAUCGCAACCAAAUAUCUUCAGUUCUGCCAUUAUUAGCUA
rnacentral:lncRNA from 1 species